rnacentral:rRNA from 1 species
GACGAACGCUGGCGGCGUGCUUAACACAUGCAAGUCGAGCGGUAAGGCCCUUUCGGGGGUACACGAGCGGCGAACGGGUGAGUAACACGUGGGUGACCUGCCCUCAGCUCUGGGAUAAGCCUGGGAAACCGGGUCUAAUACUGGAUAUGACUCCAUGACGCAUGUUGUGGGGUGGAAAGCCUUGUGCGGCUGAGGAUGGGCCCGCGGCCUAUCAGCUUGUUGGCGGGGUGANGGCCUACCAAGGCGACGACGGGUAGCCGGCCUGAGAGGGCGACCGGCCACACUGGGACUGAGACACGGCCCAGACUCCUACGGGAGGCAGCAGUGGGGAAUCUUGCGCAAUGGGCGAAAGCCUGACGCAGCGACGCCGCGUGAGGGAUGACGGCCU